AGCCCCGUGGUGUAGUGGUCAAGCAUGUGGGACUUUGGAUCCCACGACGGCAGUUCGAAUCUGCCCGGGGCUA
rnacentral:tRNA from 1 species